ensembl:snoRNA
UGUGUAUGUGUGUGUCUUUGUUUAAUUUGUAACAAAGCCUUACAGACAGGUGCAAACAAUAAAUCCUCUUUUGCAACCUAGAACUCAGAUACGAGAUUUUGGUACAUGGAAUAAGAAAUAUG